GGCGGAAUAGCUCAGUUGGCUAGAGCACACGGUUCAUACCCGUGGUGUCGCUGGUUCAAAUCCAGUUUCCGCUACUA
rnacentral:tRNA from 7 species